rnacentral:lncRNA from 1 species
CAGAACCCUUUGCAUUGCAUUGCAAAUGCAGAGCACUUUGCAUUGCAUUGCGCACACUGAACAGAUUGCAUUGCAUUGCAUUGCAUUGCAAAUACAGAACACAUUGCAUUGCAUUGCACACACAGAACAGAUUGCAUUGCAUUGCAUUGCACACACAACAGAUUUCAUUGCAUUGCAAACACAGAACACUUUGCAUUGCAUUGCACACACAGAACAGAUUGCAUUGCAAAUACAGAACACUUUGCAUUGCAUUGCAAAUGCAGAGCACUUUGCAUUGCAUUGCACACACUGAACAGAUUGCAUUGCAUUGCAUUGCAUUGCAAAUACAGAACACAUUGCAUUGCAUUGCACACACAGAACAGAUUGCAUUGCAUUGCAUUGCACACACAGAACAGAUUUCAUUGCAUUGCAAACACAGAACACUUUGCAUUGCAUUGCAAACACCAAACAGAUUGCAUUGCAUUGCAGACACAGAAUGUAUUGCAUUGUAUUGCAAACACUGAACACUUUGCAUUGCAUUGAACACACAGAACAGAUUGCAUUGCUUUGGACACACAAUGCAUUGCAUUGCAUUGCAUUGCAUUGCAAACACAGAACAGAUUGCAUUGCAUUGCAUUCCAUUGCAAACGCUGAACACUUUGCAUUGCAUUGCACACUCAGAACACAUUGCAUUGCAUUGCAUUGCAAAUACAGAACACUUUGCAUUGCAUUGCACACACAGAACACUUUGCAUUAACCCUGAACGCUUUGCAUUGCACUGAACACAGAGAACAGAUUGCAUUGCAAACACGGAACACUUUGCAUUGCAUUGCACACCCAGAAUAGAUUGCACUGCAAACACGGAACGCUUUGCAUUGCAUUGCACACACAGAAUGCAUUGCAUUGGAUUGCAUUUCAAGUACAAAACACUUUGCAUUGCAUUGCAAACACCAAACCCAUUGCAAUGCAAACUCUGACUGCCUUGCAGUGCAUUGCACACACAGAACAGAUUGCAUUGCAUCACAGAUAUGCAACACAUUGCACUGCUUUGCGUAUACCAAACAUGUUGCAUUGCAAAUAGCAAACGCAUUGCAUUGCACAGCUGCAUUGCAAACACCGAACAGAUUGCAUUGC